UACUCCACGCCACCGUUGAUGCC
rnacentral:siRNA from 1 species